GACCUCAAAUCAGGUAGGACUACCCGCUGAACUUAAGCAUAUCAAUAAGCGGAGGAAAAGAAACUAACAAGGAUUCCCCUAGUAACUGCGAGUGAAGCGGGAAAAGCUCAAAUUUAAAAUCUGUCAGUCUUUGGCUGUCCGAGUUGUAAUCUAGAGAAGUGUUAUCUGCGCUGGACCGUGUACAAAUU
rnacentral:rRNA from 1 species